GACGAACCGUGCGAACGUUGUUCGGAAUCACUGGGCUUAAAGGGCGCGUAGGCGGGUGCCAUCGUCCGCGGUGAAAGCCCCCGGCUUAACCGGGGAACGGCCGCGGAGACGGGGCAUCUCGAGGGGUGUAGGGGCAUGCGGAACGCCGGGUGGAGCGGUGAAAUGCGUUGAUAUCCGGCGGAACUCCGGUGGCGAAAGCGGCGUGCUGGACACCUUCUGACGCUGAGGCGCGAAAGCCAGGGGAGCAAACGGG
rnacentral:rRNA from 1 species